GGGCGCAUAGCGCAGUGGUAGCGCGUCCGCUUUGCAAGCGGAAGGCCCCGGGUUCAAUCCCCGGUGUGUCCA
rfam:Phytophthora sojae unplaced genomic scaffold PHYSOscaffold_7, whole genome shotgun sequence.